AUGGCGGCGUGUAGUGCUCAGGCUCCUGGCUCCGAGCAAGCCUGGCUUGAGGCUGCCCAGGCCUUCAUCCAAGAGACCCUGUGUCCAGCUGACAAGGAGCCUAAUGUCCAGUUGACUCAGUUGGUUAUUGACUGUGUGAAGACUAUCUGGUUGUCCCAGGGAAGGAACCGGGGUUUUACACUGCCCCUCAGCUACAGCAUUGCCUCAG